UACAGAGGGGGCAAGCGUUGUUCGGAAUUACUGGGCGUAAAGGGCGCGUAGGCGGCCUGCUAAGUCGAACGUGAAAUCCCUGGGCUCAACCCAGGAACUGCGUCCGAUACUGGUUGGCUUGAAUCCGGGAGAGGGAUGUGGAAUUCCAGGUGUAGCGGUGAAAUGCGUAGAUAUCAGGAGGAACAUCGGUGGCGAAGGCGGGUUGCUGGGCCGACACUGACGCUGAUGCGCGAAAGCCAGGGGAGCGAACGGG
rnacentral:rRNA from 1 species